CACCCGCUGUGCCCACAGGGGCGGCGUGGUGAUGUUUCCCGAGAUGACUAGGAUUUAGGGCAACGAAUCCACGCGCGUCCCUGGUGUGAUGAUCUUCUGGGUCUUGGGGUGGAGCCACGCGGCCAGGGCGUGAAGAUGUUCAGCAUUUGAUAAUUUCAGAAACAGUUGCAUUUAACUUCUUGGAAGACCAGCUAAUUCUCCAUUGUUUGUGCUAUUGGAGAGCUGUAGCAGUCAAACACAAAAUUAUCCUCCAGGUCCCAGCUUCUCAAGGUGUGGUCUUCGGGCUGGCAGGCUGGGCAUCCCCGAAGCUGGUUCAAAAUGCAGAAGCUCAGGUCCACCUCAGACUGCCUGAAUCAGAGGCUUAUUGUAACAAUAUCUGCGGGUAAUCCGUGUGCUGCUAAGGCUGGAAAAGGCCUGCUCUAGGUGACACGACGCCAUUCAUCCUUGUGUGCCUAUCAUAUUUCCUGAAAACAUAUGAUCCCAUCUCUGGAGUAGGAUCAGCAUUAAGCCCACUCUCUGUGUUUGAAUAACACCAACAAGCUGACAACAUGUAAGGACCAUUUAACGUGUUCUCCUUUGGUUGGCUAAUCUUUGGUAAGACAUCAGGGCAGAUGACAUAUUGUCACACUUCGGUGUCAGCAGCAGAUUCUGCUCAGCUCACAGGACGGCGGGGAGACAGCGCCCAGAACAACUUGGAAAGAACCAGGGUUUCCACCACCUUCCACUGCACGAAAUCCUCAUCCCACAGGUGACGCUCCCUCAGCACGCGAUUCAAAACCACCGAGGGGGGCGCUUCCACCUCCACAGAAGCCUUCCACAGCUUCAGCGGAUGCCCGUCUCCCACCUUGGGAAAGAUACCAGCACAUGCUGAAGAGGUUGCUGGUUCCAACACAACCUACCAUCCUUCACUGGGUGUUCAAAAAACAUCACUGAGUAUGUAACUUGAAAGAGUGACUCUGAAUACCUCAGGUUUAGAAUUUUUAAAUGUUUAUC